AUGAACGCUGGCGGCGUGCCUAAUACAUGCAAGUCGAGCGAACAGACGAGGAGCUUGCUCCUCUGACGUUAGCGGCGGACGGGUGAGUAACACGUGGAUAACCUACCUAUAAGACUGGGAUAACUUCGGGAAACCGGAGCUAAUACCGGAUAAUAUAUUGAACCGCAUGGUUCAAUAGUGAAAGACGGUUUUGCUGUCACUUAUAGAUGGAUCCGCGCCGCAUUAGCUAGUUGGUAAGGUAACGGCUUACCAAGGCAACGAUGCGUAGCCGACCUGAGAGGGUGAUCGGCCACACUGGAACUGAGACACGGUCCAGACUCCUACGGGAGGCAGCAGUAGGGAAUCUUCCGCAAUGGGCGAAAGCCUGACGGAGCAACGCCGCGUGAGUGAUGAAGGUCUUCGGAUCGUAAAACUCUGUUAUUAGGGAAGAACAAAUGUGUAAGUAACUAUGCACGUCUUGACGGUACCUAAUCAGAAAGCCACGGCUAACUACGUGC
rnacentral:rRNA from 1 species